CUUCAACGAGCCGAGGAGGAGGGGGCGUUCACCGGGACGCUCCUGCCCGUAGGUGGCGAGGAGCGCCUGCGCCUC
rnacentral:antisense_RNA from 1 species